rnacentral:tRNA from 1 species
GGGGUUGUGGCUCAGAGGUAGAGCGCUUGCCUAGCAUGCAUGAGGCCCUGGGUUCAAUCCUCAACAUCA